CACGUAGGGCGCAAGCGUUGUCCGGAAUUAUUGGGCGUAAAGAGCUCGUAGGCGGUCUGUUGCGUCUGCUGUGAAAACUCGGGGCGUAACCCCGAGCCUGCAGUGGAUACGGGCAGACUAGAGGUAGGUAGGGGAGAAUGGAAUUCCCGGUGUAGCGGUGAAAUGCGCAGAUAUCAGGAGGAACACCGGUGGCGAAGGCGGGUCUCUGGGCAACAACUGACGCUGAGGAGCGAAAGCGUGGGGAGCGAACAGG
rnacentral:rRNA from 1 species